rnacentral:lncRNA from 1 species
AAACAGCAUUGGUGUGAAUGCAGAGCUGGAGGCAGGAAACAGCCAAGCCCCCAAGGAAGUGUGGGGAGCAAGGCAGAGUAGGGGACAGGCUGAAAAGUAGAGUGAACCCAUGAGAAACCACUGGAGUGGGACUGAGAAGUGACCCCAAAGGAGCCAGGGUAAAGCAAGAAGGCCACUUAGAGCAGGUAAUCCUAACGCCACGAAGGGAGCUCGGGGCUAAGAGCAGCAGAAACCUGUAAAUCAACUGGCACACUGAAUCGUAGAAGAACCUCCAUGACAUGCUAUGGGAAAAGCCAGGCUCAAACAACCAUGGGAAGUAUAUUCCACUACAUGAAAUGUCAGUUCAGUGGCUGUUUGGGGUAGGAUAGGGAUAGAGGUUAACUGUUUAGAGAUAAAGGUUGUUACUGGGUCGUGAAAUUUCCAGCGUUGUAUUAAGGUGAAGGUUGAUCCACCCAGUAAAUUUAUGACAUCAUUGAAUCAAAUUCUUCAUGAGAGUGAUUUUCAUGCUAUGGAAACUGUGCCUCGGUAAAGAUGUCAGACUUUGGCGAUGAAAGAGAAAAGCAGCAAUAAGUCUUUCUGGAUGGUAUCAUCCAGGAAUAGCCUGGUGUACUGUGAUGUCAAGCAAGAGAGACAAAAGACAGGGAGCAGCUGAGAUAGAAGCUUGUGUAUUGCUCAUAUGCUAAGAGCAUAGGGAUAUUUUAAACAGGAGUCCUUACGUUAGUGUUCACUACCCGGGACAAAGCUGUUUGGCUUCCUCCACUGAAAUUGCUCCUUAGACCAAGCUAGCCUGUUAGUCCCCUCGAUGGCUUUAAUGCUUAGCCGGGUUCCAGCAAACAUCAGGGCAGGCCCAUUGAGGUUGGGUAAAUGACCAAGCUCUUAUUUUAUCUAUGGAGUAAGUAGAAAUGGGUGGCCAUUUAUAGAGGUUCUCAAUAUCAAUUAACCCUUGGAACUGUAAACAAGUAAAUACCUUAAUGGUAGGAAAUGACUUAGGGAAUUUUUCACAUGAGUUGGCAAGGAAAAUAAAACUUCUGUUUCCUAAGUACUAAAGGCUUAGUACUUAGCAAGAGGAACCCUUAGUCACUAGAACAAGCUAAACUGGGGUCAAUUUAUCUGAAAACAAGGUCAGCAUCAAGCAUAAAUAAGUUCCAGGGAAAGACUAGAAGUCAAUUCAGCACCCGGACAUGCAAAUAGGAAGUGGCAUUGUCCAAAGAGCCUUGCGAACUCCUUCUCCAGGGAGUACAGAAUAGAGGACACAUGGCUCCCCAAAGCCAGUUCUGCCACAGCUCUUCCUCAUAGCAGUGGGAGAUUCCAUGAUCCAUCCGAGGCGAACUAAGACUAAUGGUCUCUAAGAGGAUAAAGGCUAAGAACUUCUGUAUCUGAUACCCAUUGCGCUUUGGAGUUGCUUCUUGCUAUUCCUUUUGGUAAGGAAUCACCCACUGCACUUGAAUAAAGCUGACUUAUGGUUGUCUUGGUAAAGGAGUGAAUGAAAGUGUGGGGAGAGAGGACCUGGUAAAGUGUGGAUUCCAGGACAGACUCUAAGAAACUGAUACAAGAAAGCUGACCUUCCUCUUACUCAUGCCUGAUCUUGGUGUCUCUGCCUAGGAAUGUUUUUGUCUGUCCCUAGCUACAGCACAAGUCAAGAGCCCCAGGAUGCAGCCUGAACCAGCCAUAAGUAGUAUGGAGAUAGAACCUGAUUCCCAAUAUCCUUGGCCAUACUACAUGCACAGUGUCACAGAAAGUGGACCCUUGCAUGGCACCACAGAAGCUACCCAGUUUUUAGAAAACUACCUUUUAUCCUCACAAUGUGGUAAAGUAAAUGUUGCUUGUAUAUUUUUAUAAGAACAGGAAGGUUGCUUUAUGAGUACAGCAUCUCCCUCAUGCUGACUUAGUCAGUUGUCCGAUAAAAUAAGUUAUCCUCCACCUUGUUUAAAUUUAAAUCUUCUGCCCCGAGAGCCUGGUUUGCUCUUGGCCCUAUUUGUAAGGGCAAAGUAAGGACAGCCCUUAUUUUGAGCUUAUCUGUUAGAUAGAAGGUAGACGGAAAUGAUGGAAUGGGGUGAAGGGAAUCCUGUAGAUAGGCUAAGUCCCGUUUGUUGUUAUAUACAUCUUGCUGGUCUGUUGUAAAACUCUGGCCAUUGCCUUUAGUAGAAAACAUCAAUUUAAAAACUAACACAGUGUCUUACCCAACAGAUGGCCAUUGAUCAAUCAGGAACUGUGAGUAUUCUCAAAGAGCAGUUAGAUAAUAAGUAACCAGCUAAACUAUCCUGGCAGCUAUGUCUAUCACCCACUAAUCAGAAUGCCCCAAGUGGGUAACUGUCCUCAGCUGCAGAGGAGUUACUCCAGAUAUAUCACAAACUAAAACAGGAUAUUUUCCUAUACAUGAGCACAGAUAAGGGUCUGCAUCCUCUUCUCCCUCACCCUCUGCCUCAGCCCACACCUUUUGUGCUUUUCUAGAUUAGAAGAAAAAUAAACUUAAAAGGACUAACAGGUACAUUAAGACUCAGAAGGGAAGAGGGUCACAUUACCUCAUGAAUAUGCUACCAAUCCCCAAAACACUCCUAAGGCUUGUUAAAUUUAAUUCCCCAGUGCCACAGGUAUAAUCCUUUCAAAGAUCAUGACAGGGGCUCCUGUUGUCUUAUUUUAAAGACCCUAAUCACUGCAAAGCUAUUUGCUAGGCUCCGGUCCUCAGAGCAGGAGCAGUAGGCAGGGCUAUGUGCAUCAGAGUGACUCCUAAGGCUUCAAGAGAAAUAUAGAUCAUCUACUGACACAUGGCUUUUCUUUUAUACUCAUUUCAAUAUUUUCAAAUAAAAAUUAAAAAGCAAA